UCUUGGUCCCCUUGUGUCUUGGUUCAACCAAAUGGUUGAACUAAGGAGAAAACCCAGGUCUCAUGAGAGACCUGAGCUUUUCCCCGCACAGUCUCGUUCGAGACUGUGCCUGUCUCGAACGAGACAGUGCAAAAUUUGCACUGGUCUCGAACGAGACCAGCCUGUCUCGUUCGAGAACCAGGCAUAUUUUGCUGGUCUCGUUCGAGACCAGCGAUACCCCUCCAAGGAGGGCAGUUUGGGCAUAUUUUUCUCUUCUUUCGAAACCGUAUUUAAACCAAACUCCAACCCUAAUUCAUUCUCCACACUUCAAAGAAACCAUAGCCGUCUUUCCCUUCCUUUUUCGCUGAAAAAUCAUUGAUCGUUUCCGUUCUCAAAGCUUGAGAAAAGUAUCGAUCGAAAUUGAUUCCGCUUGAUCUCAGACGUUGUGGACUCGAUUCUCUACGUUCCUCUUUUUCGUGUUCGGUUAACGGUACGUUAUUUCCUUCGUUUGAGCCACCGCCGUUACAUCGUCGCGUUUGAUUUCAGUUUUUAGUUUUAAAACAACUUUCAAUGUUUUGGUUCGUUUGUUAUCGUUUCUAGGUCGAAAUUGUUUUCGUUUGAUCCCGGAGACUCUAGACUCUCCUACCUUCGAGUCCCUAGCUCUUUUACGCUUUACGGUGUGCCGCUGAGCUCGUGUUUAUCUCUGCCGUUUCGUCGCUUGACUCGUCUACUGUUCGUGCUUCAGAGGCGAACCAGAAUUAGUGCUUGCCAGUAUUUCACGUGGAUUAGCAAGCAGGUUAUGAUCUGAGAGAGUCUGGUGAUCUCCGCUUUUACUUUUCCUCGGAGGUUCCAUUUAUUUUUAGUAGAACUAUCAAACUGUUUUAUUCUUAGACCGCAGUAGUUGACUAGACGUCUUUAUUUUAUUCUAGUUGUUGUCGGAUUGGUCCGACUGGAUUAUUAUUGCUUUGGCAUGUUAUAUAAUUUUUCAGAAUCAUUUAUGUUACGCCUAAUUAUAAUUCAAUAUUGGAAAGCAUGUUAUAUUAAAUGUUGAUUAUUAUAACUGCUAGACUUAGGCUGAAGUCUCGGUUGCCCCCGAGCAUUGGUUUUCUUGCAGGUUUAUGUUUUGUUUGGUUAUCCGCAAGGCUAGCUACGGGUUUCGGUACAACCAUACCCAUACCCUAGCGCCGGUCGCGAUUCAUGAAAAUGAGUCGUGACAAACUUGGUAUCAGAGCUUUGGUUUCAAACCAAGGCCAUUUGCAUGCUAUGUGUUCACUCUGUUAAGUAUUGUUGUGUCUUAGGAACUACUGCGGAUAUAGGUUUCAUGUCUUGUCUUUUAAAACGUCAUCAUUUGUUUUCAAACUUUCAGCCUACAUCCUAUAGGUGAUGUCUGUCAGUCUUUGUUUGGUAUUGAUGCUAUGUCUGACAAUUAAUUUCACUUGGAUGUUAC